rnacentral:misc_RNA from 1 species
UUAAGUUCAGCGGGUAUUCCUACCUGAUCCGAGGUCAACCUUUGUAAAUAAAAGAAGGAGACCGGCCCGGAAGGUCCUUGAAACUCGACGCGUGCUCGUUUAAAAAGCUCGUUGCACCGAGGGUCCCACGGACGCCGUCAUUGUCUUUGAGACCAGUUGUUCACACAACUUGGGUCCAACACCAAACCCGAGGUUUGAGG